CUGCUGCCUUCCGUAGGAGUUUGGACCGUGUCUCAGUUCCAAUGUGGGGGACCUUCCUCUCAGAACCCCUAUCCAUCGUUGUCUUGGUGGGCCGUUACCCCCGCCAACUAACUAAUGGAACGCAUCCCCAUCCAUAACCGAAAUUCUUUAAUAAUCCA
rnacentral:rRNA from 1 species